CCAUCUGUUGAUUUUCUCUCGUCACGUAUCGUCUGUUUAUUUUAUAUAAUAUUUUUUGGUCUGGACGAUGAUUGCUCGCCAGCUUACUGUGAAAAUGCUUGUGUGGGUGUGUGUAUGAUUUGAGUGGCAUAUGUCUGUUUGCAGCUGGAGUGGAGAAAAGGGAAGGAGAAUCCAUUUGUGAAGAGCAUAAGGGCGAGGUUGAGGCCCAAAGGGAUGCCGUUGAGUAUAGUUCAUGAUGGAGAUGGGUUUCCCCGGAUUAUAUUGACUGAGCCAACUGGGUCAUCUGCAGAGGUACUCUUGUAUGGAGGCCAGGUUGUUUCUUGGAAGAAUGAGAGGAGAGAGGA